AUAUGUUUAUUGAUGUCAAGGCGAUAGUACGUACAUUAUCCUAAAUAUAGUUUAACUUAAGAAAUGUGCCAACAAAAUCGCUGUUUGACAUUUAUAAUCAUAUUUAUUUUAAAGUUUAUACCAAAAAUGUGCAUGGAUUAUUUAAUACUACCUAAUGGCGACUGCUAAUAACUACUGUGCUGUUCUGUUGCAAUGUUUCCAAACUGUUGCGUGGAUAAUAACAGAGUGAGGGUCUGGUCUAUAAAACUCCUUCUAGCAUUGUCGAGACGCGUAAAAAGGAUAGUUCAGAGUCAUGGGGAAGGUCGACUUCGUUAGCAGCAGAAGCGAGGAUGUCAGGUGUGUACGAGGAGAAGUACACCGAGACGUUACAGGCAUGACGCGAUGAACUGGAAGAAAAUGUUGAAGAUAUUGCGCUAUUGGGAAACCGAGAUUGGUGUUCGUGUGCAACUGCAGACCAUGGGCAUGGUAAAACUUACUAAAAGCAAGUAUCUGCUGUUUGGAAAUCGACUAAAUCGGCGACAAAAUGCAAAGUAACAACUUACAGUGCAUUGUUGAACAUUAUGAUCUCCCGAUUCUGUUUGUAUUCAGAAGUCGCCAGGACAGCACUUCUAGCCAGAGCAGACAAACGACGCGAUAAUUACCGCUACCAAAUAGGACUUUCAGGCAUCAAGCCUAUCAACAGUUUACCUACUGGAUUCAAAACAGACUUGGGCGAUAUGUAUAGCGAGUUAUUCCUGCUCAUGUGAAGUAUAUGUUGGGUUUACCGAAGCAGAUGUUUGAUCCAAAUGGAUAGCUGGGUGUAGUAUUGACACUAAAUACAAUUAUAGCACAACCUUCCUUGGUCAAAACUUGUAUAAGUCGGGGAAAAAAUAAAGCAGUUUAAUUUAA